rnacentral:lncRNA from 1 species
UUUCUUUUCUUCUUCUCUCUAUACGUUGGUGUUCUAACCAAUAAUCACCGAUGUGAUAUUCUGUCCGAUCGAUUCGGGAACCAAUUAACGAAUGCCAAAGUGCUGUCUAAAUAAGACUAUACUUUGUGAAUUUCGUUAAGGUUCUGAUCUCGUGACCAUCGUUAGGUUUGAUGUGGUUUUACACUAAUAUGUAUUCCACUCUGUUAAGCUAAAUGUUUAACUAUCAGAAAACUCCGGUCCAUAAACCUACUAUCAAACAAGAUGUAUAAUCAUCAGAAGACUUAGAAUCAAGCUGCUUGUUUAAUCAAGACUAUAUGCUAACAAGGUGAUUACAGUAGAUUGGAAUAAGAGUGAUGAUACGGCACCGAAAGGCUUAAAGAAGUGGCUUA